rnacentral:rRNA from 1 species
AGUAACACGUGGGUAACCUGCCCAUAAGACUGGGAUAACUCCGGGAAACCGGGGCUAAUACCGGAUAAUAUUUUGAACUGCAUGGUUCGAAAUUGAAAGGCGGCUUCGGCUGUCACUUAUGGAUGGACCCGCGUCGCAUUAGCUAGUUGGUGAGGUAACGGCUCACCAAGGCAACGAUGCGUAGCCGACCUGAGAGGGUGAUCGGCCACACUGGGACUGAGACACGGCCCAGACUCCUACGGGAGGCAGCAGUAGGGAAUCUUCCGCAAUGGACGAAAGUCUGACGGAGCAACGCCGCGUGAGUGAUGAAGGCUUUCGGGUCGUAAAACUCUGUUGUUAGGGAAGAACAAGUGCUAGUUGAAUAAGCUGGCACCUUGACGGUACCUAACCAGAAAGCCACGGCUAACUACGUGCCAGCAGCCGCGGUAAUACGUAGGUGGCAAGCGUUAUCCGGAAUUAUUGGGCGUAAAGCGCGCGCAGGUGGUUUCUUAAGUCUGAUGUGAAAGCCCACGGCUCAACCGUGGAGGGUCAUUGGAAACUGGGAGACUUGAGUGCAGAAGAGGAAAGUGGAAUUCCAUGUGUAGCGGUGAAAUGCGUAGAGAUAUGGAGGGAACACCAGUGGCGAAUGCGACUUUCUGGUCUGUAACUGACACUGAGGCGCGAAA